CGCGCCAAAAGGGGCGGUCUCGCUCGUUUCCCCGCGCGAAUUAGGUGCAUUUCCCUCCAAAAAUUUAAAUGUCUACAAUAAUAGCUGACUGAUCUUCACUUUGGUCCAAGUGGCCAUUCUCUGAGGACAUGAACAUGGUGAACAGUGAGACUUGUCUUCAGCUUCAAGUGGAACAGCUCUGACCUGUAUGGUGAUCAGACCCGGAGAGGAGAGACACCUGGUCCAACAAGGUGACGGACGAGCACCUAAGAUGAAUAAGACGAGCCGCCACAGGACCUGAAGCAGGAAAACUGAGUAUCCGUCUUCUGAUGAAACUCCUUCAGGUCUUGCAGUUGUUUGUUGACUUUGGUUUCACCUGCUCAGACAGUGAGAAUUGUUGUCUUUGCUGGUUAUUUACAUAAUAAAACUUUUUUUGAAUUACACUCUAUUGUGGUUUUUAUAGAUUUUUAAAGCACGUGUUGAGUCUUUUGAUGGAGUCCAAUGUCUCCUCUCAGUGGCAUUUUCAAACCUUUAACUAUAUUUGAUAUAUACAUUUUAUUUCUGUAAUGGAGACCAGGGCUUCCAUUACCUUCAUUAUCUAUUUCUAUUCUGGGAAUGAUUGAUUUAGAAACCAUGUGUUGUUUAAUAAUGUCUGAGUAAGCCUCUUUCCAUCUCCUAUCACAUGAGUGAAGCUAACAGCAGCUCAGUGUCUCCAGUGUCUUCAAACAGUUACUCUUCCUCCACCGAAUCUAAAAACCCAACUACAUAAAAAGAGGCCCAUUUUGAAUAGGAGGGGGUGACGA